GAUGAACGCUAGCGGCAGGCCUAAUACAUGCAAGUCGGACGGGAUCCAUUGAUAGCUUGCUAUCAAUGGUGAGAGUGGCGCACGGGUGCGUAACGCGUGAGCAACCUGCCUCCAUCAGGGGGAUAGCCUCUCGAAAGAGAGAUUAACACCGCAUAAUAUCAACAGUUCACAUGUUCAGUUGAUUAAAUAUUUAUAGGAUGGAGAUGGGCUCGCGUGACAUUAGCUAGUUGGUAGGGUAACGGCUUACCAAGGCGACGAUGUCUAGGGGCUCUGAGAGGAGAAACCCCCACACUGGUACUGAGACACGGACCAGACUCCUACGGGAGGCAGCAGUAAGGAAUAUUGGUCAAUGGGCGGAAGCCUGAACCAGCCAUGCCGCGUGCAGGAUGACUGCCCUAUGGGUUGUAAACUGCUUUUGUCCAGGAAUAAACCUAAAUACGAGUAUUUAGCUGAAUGUACUGGAAGAAUAAGGAUCGGCUAACUCCGUG
rnacentral:rRNA from 1 species